GCUCUUUACAAUGAACUCACCAAAAAAUAAAUUAAAAAAAAAAAAAUAAUAAUAAUAAUAAUAAAUUGAUGUCAAUCAACUCGUAUGUAUGCAAAGGGAAGCAAGAUAAAGUCCUCUCUCCUUUGACUGCAUGUGUUGGUACCUAAUAUUGAAAAUGGUGUAUAUACAACAAACAAAUUUUUAACGUCUUAUUUCUUUAAUCCUAUCACAUAUAGUAUAGUCCAACUUAUCAAACAACCGGUAAACCUAAUCGUCUCGAUUCUAAUACCAUCCUUCUCCAUCCACCCUACCCAUUGGCAUCCCUGAUCCCCCUUAUUUAGUGCACCUUUGUCUUGGCGAUUUCUUUGGUGUUUCACACUGCCACUGAAGCUACGGGAGCCUGCCUUUGUCCAAGUAGAUUUCUCAAUGCAUUGUCAAUCUGGGUAAAUACGUCAUCCUUGGAAAGACUUCCAUCAACCUGCAACCGUAGAAUAAUAAGGCUCUUGUAAAGUAAACGAGUGAGGAAGAUGCAAUUUAGCUCCUAGUAAAAGUGAUUUGCAUUUAGGUAUCAACUUUCCGAGAAACAAAUAAACUCAAGUUGCUUCCGAAGAAUAGAAC
rnacentral:lncRNA from 1 species